rnacentral:lncRNA from 1 species
AUGCUUUCAGUACUGUAUCCAAAGAACAAAAGUAGUGAUCGAGUAAUUGUACUCGGAACAAAUUUGAACAAUUUAAAAGAUGUCAACAUAAAAUUGCACCAAGAUCGCUCAUAACUCAAAUUAAUUCCUUUAACUUGUACAAUAAAUACAACGACAACGUGGAUCCAUCUUUUCACAACUCAAGCAUUCCCUUGCCAGUAAUUGAACUGACAUCCUUCAAAAGCUACACAAAAAUUCCACAUAAGAAUUAUAACAAUAUAAUAAAGGAAAAAAGUAAAAGUGCCCUUGUAUACUUUUUUUCAACUCCAUUAUUUCUAGUCUUAUGGAUUGUAACAAGCAAGAAUUAUUAUAAUAAUAGUACUUCGUUAGAUUAUGGAAUUCAAAGCUAAGAACUUUACCAGGAACAUGACAAACUAUUGCAACUCAGUUCUGUGUAAGCAGUUGCAUCAUCCUGCUUCUGGUGCAAAAACGGAGGAUAUCAGUUAGAAGAAAUUUCCCAAAGCAACAAAGAUCUCAUAAAACUUCUACUAAACAUACGAUAAGUGAUCAUCAUCGCAAACCUGAAUCUAUCUUUUCCGAAAUUGAUACUAACAUAAAAGUUAACCUAUUCAAGCACCAUAAGGCAAGACAUCUCCAUUUCUUUCAAAGGCCCUUUUUCAACUGAAACAUGAGGAAGAAAAAGUGUCACAAUCUCAAAAGGAUGACAACUUGUCUUAUUCUUUUCUGCAACUCAUUUAAAAGCGAAAAUUGAAUAAGUAAGGCAUGUCAUGGCUACAUUACCACUUAUCAGUGUCAAGAAUGUUAGCAUCCAUAUUACGGUGACAUAAAACGUAUGAAGAAGGGAUAAAACAGAG